rnacentral:rRNA from 1 species
GACGAACGCUGGCGGCGUGCCUAAUACAUGCAAGUUGAGCGCUGAAGGUUGGUUCUUGUGCCGACUGGAUGAGCAGCGAACGGGUGAGUAACGCGUGGGUAAUCUGCCUUUGAGCGGGGGACAACAUUUGGAAACGAAUGCUAAUACCGCAUAAAAACUUUAAACACAAGUUUUAAGUUUGAAAGAUGCAAUUGCAUCACUCAAAGAUGAUCCCGCGUUGUAUUAGGUAGUUGGUGAGGUAAAGGCUCACCAAGGCGAUGAUACAUAGCCGACCUGAGAGGGUGAUCGGCCAAAAUGGGACCGAGACACGGGCCAAACUCCUUCGGGAGGCAGCAGAAGGGAAACUUCGGCAAUGGACGAAAGUCUGACCGAGCAACGCCGCGUGAGUGAAGAAGGUUUUCGGAUCGUAAAACUCUGUUGGUAGAGAAGGACGUUGGUGAGAGUGGAAAGCUCAUAAAGUGACGGUAACUACCCAGAAAGGGACGGCUAACUACGUG